AUUUAAAAUCUAUGUUCUGCAUUUAACUGGACCAAAAUUUGUGGUUAUCAGUUGAUACCAAUAUGGCAACUGAGGUCGUCUGUGGUGACGCUCGUUGCCAAAGCUUAUCUAGACUUCAACGGGUGGAUUAGCUCAGAGAGGGACGAGAUAAUUUUUGUGAACAGUGCACCAGCCUCACUAACUAACUGCACAAGCUAUAGUGAUAUUUAACGCUGUUUAUUCUAAAAGAAAAAAAAAGAAAAAAAAAACGAAAUAAAGAACACAAGAAAGAAAAAGAAAAAAGCUACAGAGUUACAACCACUUCAUUAAAUGCACUAACUUAAUAAAACUGGCCCGAUGCCUUCAGUUUUCUCAGUGCCACCACACUGUACAUGCUGGUAAUGCUAUAGGGAACAGCCUGAACAACGCUGAUUGAAGGUAAAUUUCAAAGUGAGUAUUGUUUCAUUUACGGACGAAUUACACAAAGGCGACAUAUUUGGAAACACUCAACAUUGUGAUGACUAGUGAACUUGUGUAUGGACGUUAGACUACACUAUAUUUGGUAAUUUACUACCGUACAAAGUUAGUGCUGUCACCUUAAGGUGAGUAAGUAGUCCAUCUUCAAAUUGUUUGCAUAUAAUAUAUGAUAUAAUAAUAUUUGACCAAUCCUUGCCUUGCAGCUAGAGUGAGUUUAUUUUGGACUGUGGAGGAAAAACCUUAGAUUAUUUUUAGUUUCUUAUAUUUUUUCAUUCUUUUCAUCCAUUUUUAUACUUAAGUCUUAUAGUUUUAUGCACAAUAUAUUUAAAGUGGAUGUUUCAGAGAGGGAUAAUAGAGAUUCUUGUCUUAGUCUUGCAUGCUGAAUUUAUCCAUUGACGUUUUUAUGUUAUAUAAACAAUAUGCAGAAAGAGGACAGAUGUGCAUUUAUCUACAGAUAAACGAAGAAUUCCUUAAAUCUACAUGCAUGGCCAAGGAUACACUGGAGUUAGAAUCACAUUCUUCUCAUAACAGAACACCUAACAUUUCCUCUAAAUAUUUUCAAGAAACUAUUCGGAACAACAUUUAAUAAUUUAUGGACUUAAAAAUCAGUGUUUAUGUUAUCAAAUAUUAAGCCUUUAACCUUCACCUUUACUGUUGAGUCGACGAACGAUUAAUGCUUACACCAUGGCCCCCCACGACCAGACUCGGCUCAGCUAACUGGGUGGGGACUGAAGGGACAUGGGUGUGAUACAAAAAUCCCCACAUCAGGAGACACACGGUCACAUCAGAAACAGAAAACACCAAUGAGUAAUCGACGGGUACCGAGCGAAACUGCCGAGGUCUAAUGGAUACCUCAUAUUUACCAGGGGCAGUGCACCAAUUCGGCUCAUAUACUGACUUAGUAGUUUUAACCUUGCUCCUGUCUCAGUGGAGCCUCUCAUCCCAGAGAAUGACAUGACAGCAAGCAAGUAUAUAGUUCCUCGUUGUGGUCAGAUUUCUCCGCUAAGUUACGUUAGUGCUCCUGGCAGCAACCCAGCAGACACCAGUGAUUUGAAUACUGGCACCGGUCCCGAAAUGAUGAGUCACAAGGGAACUAUCCGAGGUCCUGUUACGCCCCUGCCCGUGUCUGCGGCAACAGUGACCGCUAGAUGGCAGCAUCAAUCAGGGGCGCAAGGUGCAGAUAACACGCAUGUGUACUAUGUUUUGAGUGAUCUGCUGUGAUUCUUAUAGAAAAUGAAAUGUCUGCCUCGGUACAAAUUACCAGUGUUUGUCAAUGAGUUGUUUUUAGCUGUGUAACUGUGACCCAUAUCCCCCUGAAGACUAUUAAAGUUUAAUUUCCAACAUGU